UGGGGUAUAGCUCAGUGGUAGAGCACAUGUUUCACAGGCAUGAGGUCCUGGGUUCAAUCCCCAGUGCCUCUA